UCCCUGGUGGUUCAGUGGUUAAAACUCUGUUCUCCCAAUGCAGGGGAUGCAGGUUCAGUCCCUGAUCAGGGAA
rnacentral:tRNA from 1 species